UGAGGGAGGGAGGGAGGAAGAGAGACUGGCGAGGACGUGAAGGGCUCUGCCUCAGAGGACAGAAGGGAGGCCACUGGGAAAAGAGGGCAAGGCCCUUUAGAGUGAGAAGUAGGGACACAGAGAUGUGAUGGGGGACAGAAACAAUGCUGCCAGGGCUGGGGAAGCCUGGACCUGCUGCCGGGAAAAUGCAGCUUCAGAGCACAGGCUUCACGCCCAGAGCCAGGCUAGCAACAGUGCUGUGGAGACCUGAGGAUAUAGGAGACACCAAACAGUCUUUCUGCCACCCUCCAGCCACGGAAGGUUCCUGACUGUGAGAGAGAACGAGGACAGUGAGGGGCGAGGCGGGGCCUGGCUCAGGUGGCAGGCGGGAGGACAGGGAUGGGAGGGAGCGGCAACUCGUGGCUGUUCCCCUGUGGGAUGACCAGGGCUGGAAUGAGGGAGGACAUGGGGGCAGGCAGAAUGCAGUGGGGAGGGGUGAGUCACCUGAGACCGACAGCCUAGAGACUGAGGAGAGGGUGGAGGCGGUAAUAAAGCUGAGUCCCAAAGGGGACGGGCUCUGGGAGGAACUCUGGGGCAGGGAGUUUUCAGUGGGGGAGGGAAGCCACUCAGAAAGUCUAGACGGGGUGGUCCGUAAAGACAGGGCUCGAAGCUGGAGUCCCAGGGACUACUCGUGGUUUGCCCCCAAGCAGCUCCACGAGGGAGGUGCUGUGUCCACCAUGAACCCAUCUCCAGCCCCGCUGGAAGCCACAGCCAACCAGGCGGCACAGCCAAUAGACAGAAGGACGCAUGGCUGUGGUGAAGGCUGGGGAGAGUUCCUGAAGAAGCGUGGGGAGCAGAGGCUCAGCAGCCUUGCGCUUCUGCUGCCUUUUGCCCUGCCCACUCUCCUAGAACUCUUUCCUGCCCACUCUCCUGCAUGAGGCGAGGGAGGCAGUGCAGCCGUCCUGCAACCAUGAGAGAUGGGGUCUCGCUAUGCC
rnacentral:lncRNA from 10 species